AGCAUCUCUGCGUUCUGAGGAAGGCACUUCCCAAUCUCUUGUGUGCCUCCUGGACAUCUCCCUAAUUUGAAACAGAACCACUACCACCCCAUGAAGCCUUUGAAAAUAAUUGAGGCAAAAAAGCUCCUACUAUGAGGACACCGUGCUUUAAUGAGUCUAACUGAAGGAAAAGGUGUAACAGUGGUGGAAUUGGUGAUAGAAAUUGUGCCAGAGAAGGAUGAAGAGUAAAACAGGACUGUUGGUGUUGAAAAUACCUUGCAGUUUCAGCAUGGUUCUGCCCUUCCUCUGGAAAAGGAUCUGGCCCAAUGUGAACCCUGAAUAUUGCAACAAAACACCCACUGAAAGAAGAGAGAGGAGAGAGAGAGAAUCGGUGCCAACUUUUCUUCUUAAGCGAAAGAACUUCCUCACUCAGGCAGCAAGCAGCAUCACAUGGAAGGUGUGCCUUGAGAUUGGCAAGCCAGUGCAUAAAAUACCAAACUCUGG
ensembl:lncRNA